CUGAUUGACGGAAGCCAGCACUUAAACUCCUCUUGCUAUCCAGCUACAUGUAUUACAGACAUUCUGCUCAGCUACAAGCACCCUGAGGUCUCCUUCAGCAUGGAGCAGGCUGGCGUGUAGCAAGAAACAGAGUUUUGUGUACAGCUUGGGAAUGAAAAGGUUGAUUUUUAAACCAACAGUAUCUAGCAGCGUUGCGCCAAAUUGCCAUUGUGUUUGUGCACCUGGAAUAUCAUGGCUCCUCUCCUCACAUUUGGUUCCUCAGUGUGCUGUUCUUUUGGGUUCUGAGGGGGGUUUGCCAUGUUUGCUUGUAUGACCAAGUCACCAAGGAAAUAAACAGGAAAUCCAUGUUCUCCA